ACCAUCCAAAUAGAAUUCCUGCUCCUAAGGCUCAGAGUUCUCUGCAGUAGAGAGAGGAACAGUUAACAAGAACCAGAGGAUUGUGAGAUAGUGUCUCCUAGAAAUCUCAGAGAAGCUACCCCAAGAAGUCUCAUCAACAUGCCUGCCUAAACAUGACCUGAGCAAUAACAACACCAAUGAGAAUGCUGACAUCGAAAGGAGAAUACUAGAAGGGGCUAAUCUUAGACAGAGGACUAUGGGCACAUGAAAAGUAAUGAGGCUGGGAGAAACAAUCUUCCUCAAUGCUCUCAUCUAAUGAUGAAUGGUCAACUCUGAGAAAACAUAUACAUAGAGCUUCAAGAGCCACGGGGAACACAGACUUCCAGGAAGGUUGGCUCGGCCCAGAGAAUGAGGAAGCAGCUAAGAGCAAAUAUUAACCAAGCGAAGGCAGCCUGCUGGAGCCAGAGUAGGAGCAGAGGCAAGUUACAGAAUGCUUACAUUUUAUUGUACUAAGAAUUCCCCUUUGGCAAUGCCCAGGGAAACACAUAGACUAGAAGGGGAGAAAAUAACCAGAUAUAUGUGCAACUAUCAUGUGGUGAAACAUAUGUUGAGUAUUGUUUUUGUAUUAAAGGCUUGAAGACAG